rnacentral:tRNA from 1 species
GCAGGUAUAUUAUUAACGGUAAAUGGUCAGACUUCCAUUCUGAAGUUAAGGGUUCGAAUCCCUUUACCUGCA